rnacentral:tRNA from 1 species
GCCGGCGUAGCUCAGUGGUGAGAGCAGGGGACUCAUAAUCCCUGGGUCGCGGGUUCGAUCCCCGCCGUCGGCACCA